rnacentral:rRNA from 1 species
CCUACGGGUGGCUGCAGUAGGGAAUAUUGCUCAAUGGGGGAAACCCUGAAGCAGCAACGCCGCGUGGAGGAUGAAGGUUUUCUGAUUGUAAACUCCUUUUUUUAGAGAAGAUAAUUACGGUAUCUAACGAAUAAUCACCGGCUAACUCCGUGCCAGCAGCCGCGGUCAUACGGAGGGUGCAAGCGUUACUCGGAAUCACUGGGCGUAAAGCGCGCGUAGGCGGGAUAGCAAGUCAGACGUGAAAUCCUAUGGCUUAACCAUAGAACUGCAUUUGAAAAUGUUAUUCUGGAGUGUGGGAGAGGUAGGUGGAAUGCUUGGUGUAGGGGUAAAAUCCGUAGAGAUCAAGAGGAAUACUGAUUGCGAAGGCGACCUGCUAGAACAUAACUGACGCUGAUGCGCGAAAGCGUGGGGAGCAAACAGGAUUAGAUACCCGAGUAGUC